rnacentral:rRNA from 1 species
UACGAAGGGGGCUAGCGUUGCUCGGAAUCACUGGGCGUAAAGGGUGCGUAGGCGGGUCUUUAAGUCAGGGGUGAAAUCCUGGAGCUCAACUCCAGAACUGCCUUUGAUACUGAAGAUCUUGAGUUCGGGAGAGGUGAGUGGAACUGCGAGUGUAGAGGUGAAAUUCGUAGAUAUUCGCAAGAACACCAGUGGCGAAGGCGGCAUCCUGGACCGGUAUUGACGCUGAGGCGCGAAAGCCAGGGGAGCAAACGGG